GCUGGGCGUGGUGGCUCACGCCUGUAAUCCCAGCACUUUGGGAGGCCGAGGCAGGUGGAUCACCUGAGGUCAGGAGUUCAAGACCAGCCUGACCAACAUGGAGAAACCCCGUCUCUA
rnacentral:SRP_RNA from 2 species